CAUUCUUCAGAUUGAACGGAUUGUGAGGACUUCGUCUUCUGUUCUACUUCGUGAAGGACCAAGGUCCAAAAGAUACUCAUCAAGCUCAGAAAUUAGAAGUCUCCAGGAGAAACCCUUGGAUUUAGGUGUGAAACUGAAUAAUCACAAGGUCAGGACAUACUGGGUCUUGCGCCCAAAUGUUACAAUCCUCGUGCCAACAAAGCAAUAAAGGAAAACAAAAAGUGGUCGAUGACAAUAAUAAGUCCCACAGAACUGGGCCCAAUGGCAUGCCACCGAC